rnacentral:rRNA from 1 species
GACGAACGCUGGCGGCGUGCUUAACACAUGCAAGUCGAACGGAAAGGCCCUGCUUUUGUGGGGUGCUCGAGUGGCGAACGGGUGAGUAACACGUGAGUAACCUGCCCUUGACUUUGGGAUAACUUCAGGAAACUGGGGCUAAUACCGGAUAGGAGCUCCUGCUGCAUGGUGGGGGUUGGAAAGUUUCGGCGGUUGGGGAUGGACUCGCGGCUUAUCAGCUUGUUGGUGGGGUAGUGGCUUACCACGGCUUUGACGGGUAGCCGGCCUGAGAGGGUGACCGGCCACCUUGGGACUGAGAUACGGCCCAGACUCCUACGGGAGGCAGCAGUGGGGAAUAUUGCACAAUGGGCGGAAGCCUGAUGCAGCAACGCCGCGUGCGGGAUGACGGCCUUCGGGUUGUAAACCGCUUUCGCCUGUGACGAAGCGUGAGUGACGGUAAUGGGUAAAGAAGCACCGGCUAACUACGUG